rnacentral:lncRNA from 1 species
GUGUCGAACGGCCACGGAGCGAUGCGAAAAAAGAGACAGAAGAGGAGAGAGAGAGAGAAAGAGAGGCAGAGAAAAGGAGAGGAACAGAGAGAAAGAAAGAGAAAGAGAGGAACGGACGGAGAGACGGUGUACACGACGCGAGCGCGAGUACGCCAGCACCGAGUAGGCGAGGCACAGGUUGGUAAUGCGACGACGACGACGAACAGGGCUAACUCGAAUGGGAAAGGUCGGUACAGCCGCGAGUACAACUGCACCCGGCAUAGACUGUCUAGCGUAGCGGCGGAGACCGGAGGCCAGGUAGUUGGACGCACUAGGUGCCGCGCUGCUCCAAAUGCAGCCAUGCGUUAUCGCGCGUACGCUGCUUUCCUUUCGAAUAGCACGGCCUUUUGCUUUCUUCGUGACUCGCCGCAGGGCUGUUGGGUUCGGGCCUCCGCACGCGUGCAUCCAGGACCGACUACGGGGACCUUCGCACCCCGUGCAACUUGAUCUUCGAAAAUCUGGUGUAUGUGUGUAUGUGGUCUCAGCGUGAACCUCGGCUGUGAAGUUACAUGUGAAACACCUCGCGAUGAAUAAUGCUUCGCUCGAUAGUUUUGCCGAAGGAGAAGGAAAGCCGAGAAGAAGGAAGUUACGAGAGGAGUCGGAAUCUUUCGAAAACAAUAUGACAUAAACGAGGCGUUAUAUCGCGCGAAACUGCAUGCGAUUUAAAGUUGGACGGACGACGAAUGUAUUACAAAUCAAUCAAGAUCAAUGCGCUCUAAGAAGAUUAGUAUUAAUUAUUGUUAAUAUUUAAAUCAAUUAAAAUGGGACAUAUUACGUUUGCUACCUCUCUGACGAAUAAUAACUUGAUGGACUAUUAACUUCGUCAUAUUGAGAGAGCUCGUUACAGAGCAUCGAUAAGAGCAAUCUGUUGCUGUAGUCACUACCACAAACGUAACGCAGCAUUCGUUUGAGUCGGCGGCACGUCCCCGAAUUCUAAUUCUAAGAGACGCGACGUCACCGGACGUCAAAUUUUCGGAACAAUACACAGCCAGCGCACGUGGUUAUAUUUACGAGAUACACGUAAGGUUAUUUUCGCCGGACGGCACAACGGCCGUGAAUCCCGAGACGCCGCAAACCAGCCGAGCGCCAACAACUUCCUGGAAUAUUCCACGCUUUCUACCUGCGCGUCAGAACGACGAUUCAAGGCGCGCUUAACACCUGGUGGUAAACGUAUUGACUGAUGAAAACACCGCUCCAGCAUUGCCGGUUACAAGCAGAGAUACCACUCGAUGUUGAUUGCAUCGACAAUUUGACACGUCGUUGUAACCAUGCUUGCAUCCGACGCUCGUCACGCGAGUAGCAAAGCAACUUGACCCUGCGCCAAAUGCAAC